rnacentral:misc_RNA from 1 species
AGCAGCCGCGGUAAUUCCAGCUCCAAUAGCGUAUAUUAAAGUUGUUGCAGUUAAAAAGCUCGUAGUUGAACUUCAGGCCUGUCCAGACGGUCCGCCUUAAUUGGUGUGUACUGUCCUUGGGUGGGUCCUACCUUCUGGCGAAGCGGCAUGGCCUUAAUUGGUUGUGUCGGGGAACCAGGACUUUUACUGUGAAAAAAUUAGAGUGUUCAAAGCAGGCAAAUAUGCUCGAAUACAUUAGCAUGGAAUAAUGGAAUAGGACGGUGGUUCUAUUUUGUUGGCUCUAGGACCGUUGUAAUGAUUAAUAGGGAUAGUUGGGGGCAUUAGUAUUCAAUUGUCAGAGGUGAAAUUCUUGGAUUUAUUGAAGACUAACUACUGCGAAAGCAUUUGCCAAGGAUGUUUUCAUUAAUCAAGAACGAAAGUUAGGGGAUCGAAGACGAUCAGAUACCGUCGUAGUCUUAACCAUAAACUAUGCCGACUAGGAAUCGGGCGAUGUUGACAAAAUGACUCGCUCGGCACCUCA